rnacentral:lncRNA from 1 species
AUGACUGUUUGGAGCAACCAUGCAGUUAGCUGUAUGGCCUCUGCACACAUGCAACCCUCUGGGACACUGCCAGCUACUGCUCCCUGCUCGCUGCGCCCAAUAGACCCUGGCAGCUCCUUGACCCCUGGAUGUUGUGUCUGGGUCACUUCUGCAGCCAGGUGGGUGACGUGGAGGAUCUGAAGAUAGCAUUCCAGAAGAUGGAAGAACUGAUGAGUGAGUCCUGGGCACCAGGAAUAAUGACUCUUUUCUCAAGCUCACAGCACACUGGCACCUUCUGGCUUUCUGGGUUCAUCCAAAAGAUGACACAUCCUGCAGCACUGUGGCCCCCAUUCUCCAAGCACUGCACAGGGGCGCUAGGGUCAGAUUACAACACGUUUCUAGAUUCCAGGGCCAGAAGGGAACGUGUGAUCAUUUAG